rnacentral:tRNA from 1 species
GUGGGUCAAGCUCAGUGGCAGAGCGCAUGCUUAGCAUGCAUGAGGUCCUGGGUUCAAUCCCUGGUAUCUCA